UUGAACUAUAAACUAUAAUGGGUAAAAUUGGAAUGUGAGGUGUAAAAAUUGGGGAUAGGGUUGUUAUUGUGUAUAGAUAAAGAAAAGAGUGAAACAUAGACGGAGCAAACACGACAAGGGCAGAUCGGUAAUUGUAGGGGGUUUGACUGGUGCCGGACGCGUUGGAAUCGAAGUUAAGGAAUGAGGAUAAUGCAAGCACGUGAAAGGAAUGGAAGGAGCGAGUGGAGUCAAGCUCUCACGCGCUGCGACUGGGGACUGUUAAGUUACAAUGUCCAAUUAUCUUGCAUGGCCCGCUACCUCACGCUACGCAAUCACGUAAUUCGCAACUCCAACACCUAUUUCCACUUCUAUCUUGUUUGGGGCACGCGCUUUUUCGUUUUUAAGUUUCACAUUAUAUUUCGAAGAACUUUAUGUGC
rnacentral:lncRNA from 1 species